rnacentral:rRNA from 1 species
GACGAACGCUGGCGGCGUGCUUAACACAUGCAAGUCGAACGCUGAAGCUUGGUGCUUGCACUGGGUGGAUGAGUGGCGAACGGGUGAGCAAUACGUGAGUAACCUGCCCUUGACUCUGGGAUAAGCCUGGGAAACUGGGUCUAAUACUGGAUAUGACAUGCCACUGCAUGGUGGUGUGUGGAAAGGGUUUUACUGGUUUUGGAUGGGCUCACGGCCUAUCAGCUUGUUGGUGGGGUAAUGGCCUACCAAGGCGACGACGGGUAGCCGGCCUGAGAGGGUGACCGGCCACACUGGGACUGAGACACGGCCCAGACUCCUACGGGAGGCAGCAGUGGGGAAUAUUGCACAAUGGGCGGAAGCCUGAUGCAGCGACGCCGCGUGAGGGAUGACGGCCUUCGGGUUGUAAACCUCUUUCAGCACGGAAGAAGCGAGAGUGACGGUACGUGCAGAAGAAGCGCCGGCUAACUACGUG